rnacentral:rRNA from 1 species
UACGUAGGGGGCUAGCGUUGUCCGGAUUUAUUGGGCGUAAAGAGCGUGUAGGCGGCCAGGUAGGUCGGUUGUGAAAACUGGAGGCUCAACCUUCAGAGGUCGACCGAAACCAUCUGGCUAGAGUCCGGGAGAGGAGAGUGGAAUUCCUGGUGUAGCGGUGAAAUGCGCAGAUAUCAGGAAGAACACCCGUGGCGAAAGCGGCUCUCUGGAACGGUACUGACGCUGAGACGCGAAAGCGUGGGGAGCGAACUGG